UGUGCCCUUGAGUGGGCACUGUUUGUGGAAUCAGUAGGAAAGCAAAUGCAAAGGCAGGGAGAUAAAGGUGAGUCAGGAAGGAGAAAGCGGCACUUGGGGGCAGAACAAAACACCAAAAAAGCCAGGUGAUGGAAACAAGGCAAACCAUCAUUAGCCCAAGUUAACAGAAGCAAGUUGACUCAUGCAGCCGUGGGAAAAGCUAAGGUUGUUUGCAUGGACAUGGUGAGUCAUCUAAUGUGUAAGUCAAGCUACCAGCUAUAAUUAAUCUUGUACAUGGAAACAAAUUCGGGUAUUUUGAACAUGAGCUAAUGAGAUUGACCUGGAGGAUCAUGCAGCUCUAAUAGCUGAGUAGGCAAAUCAAGGAUAAAGGCAAAAGCUGGGGGUGCCCUUGGGGAGUCCCUUUCUUUGUGGCCUGUGCAUUUGCCUGUGUGGUGCUCUCUGUGGGAUGCAGGCUGAGCUGGAUGAGAUUUGCCCCACCCACGCUGCCCUCAAGUUCCUCCUUAUUUAUAGUACUAUUCCAGGAGGAUGUCUUCUGGAGUACAAGUACUGAUCUAGAUCAUAAGAAGUUGUGAUAGUGACCCUUGGGCUGGCCCAUUUAGACUGACACAAAAGGACUCACAGACAUCUUGUGGGGCUGCAUGAAUGGAGCAUAAGAACACCCUACAGACCUGUUAUUUGCUGCGUGUUCCUACGGGUGCCAGCAAAGCACAACUUCGAGUAAUGGGAACCGUAACCCGAGUGAGAGAACUGAAAAGGCAAAUCUGAAUUUAUCUCCACCUGUCCUCUCCAGUGAACAAUGAAAGCACACUGGAAAACUGGAACAACUGAAGCAGCCACCUCAGGCCCAGAAAUAAAAGCCACAUGCUAAAAGUUGCACAUCUAUCCAGCCAGCAGCCAAACACACCAGCUCUAAACCUCUAAAUCUCUGCCCCAUGGCCCGGAAUAAAAGCAAAUUUCUCUUCUACUUAA